rnacentral:rRNA from 1 species
UACAGAGGUCUCAAGCGUUGUUCGGAUUCAUUGGGCGUAAAGGGGUGCGUAGCGGCGCGGUAAGUCGGGUGUGAAAUCUCGGAGCUUAACUCCGAAACUGCAUUCGAUACUGCCGUGCUUGAGGACUGGAGAGGAGACUGGAAUUUACGGUGUAGCGGUGAAAUGCGUAGAUAUCGUAAGGAAGACCAGUGGCGAAGGCGGGUCUCUGGACAGUUCCUGACGCUGAGGCACGAAGGCCAGGGGGAGCAAAACGGG